rnacentral:rRNA from 1 species
UACGUAGGGCGCAAGCGUUAUCCGGAAUUAUUGGGCGUAAGAGCUCGUAGGCGGUUUGUCGCGUCUGCCGUGAAAGUCCGGGGCUCAACUCCGGAUCUGCGGUGGGUACGGGCAGACUAGAGUGAUGUAGGGGAGACUGGAAUUCCUGGUGUAGCGGUGAAAUGCGCAGAUAUCAGGAGGAACACCGAUGGCGAAGGCAGGUCUCUGGGCAUUAACUGACGCUGAGGACGAAAGCUGGGGAG